rnacentral:rRNA from 1 species
UACGGAGGGUGCGAGCGUUGUCCGGAAUCACUGGGCGUAAAGGGCGCGUAGGCGGUCUCUUAAGCGUGUGGUGAAAGCCCGGGGCUCAACUCCGGGUCGGCCGUGCGAACUGGGGGACUGGAGCUUGUCAGAGGCAGGCGGAAUUCCGGGUGUAGCGGUGGAAUGCGUAGAGAUCCGGAAGAACACCGGUGGCGAAGGCGGCAUUCGUCUGGGCAUGGUCCUGAGCGCAUGGAGGAGGGCGGAAAAGUGGAUUGGGGAGCGA